rnacentral:rRNA from 1 species
GACGAACGCUGGCGGCGUGCUUAACACAUGCAAGUCGAGCGGUAAGGCCCUUUCGGGGGUACACGAGCGGCGAACGGGUGAGUAACACGUGGGUGACCUGCCCUCAGCUCUGGGAUAAGCCUGGGAAACUGGGUCUAAUACUGGAUAUGACUCCACGGUGCAUGUCGUGGGGUGGAAAGCCUUGUGCGGCUGAGGAUGGGCCCGCGGCCUAUCAGCUUGUUGGUGGGGUGANGGCCUACCAAGGCGACGACGGGUAGCCGGCCUGAGAGGGCGACCAGCCACACUGGGACUGAGACACGGCCCAGACUCCUACGGGAGGCAGCAGUGGGGAAUCUUGCGCAAUGGGCGAAAGCCUGACGCAGCGACGCCGCGUGAGGGAUGACGGCCUGGU